AUUGAACGCUGGCGGUAGGCCUAACACAUGCAAGUCGAACGAGUGGCGGACGGGUGAGUAAUGUCUGGGCCACUGCCUGAUGGAGGGGGAUAACUACUGGAAACGGUAGCUAAUACCGCAUACCAUCGGAUGUGCCCAGAUGGGAUUAGCUAGUAGGUGGGGUAAAGGCUCACCUAGGCGACGAUCCCUAGCUGGUCUGAGAGGAUGACAAGCCGCACGGGAACUGAGACACGGUCCAGAGGCCUACGGGAGGGCGCAGUGGGGAAUAUUGCACAAUGGGCGCAAGCCUGAUACAGCCAUGCCGCGUGUAUGAAGAAGGCCUUCGGGUUGUAAAGUACUUUCAGCGGGGAGGCGUUACCCGCAGAAGAAGCACCGGCUAACUCCGUGCCAGCAGCCGCGGUAAUUC
rnacentral:rRNA from 1 species